UGAGUGCGAGCGGCUACGGCCGCGGAGUGGGUGAUGUCAAGCUUCCAAGAAAAGCCCUAUACCCGUUAAGGCAUGAUGGCCUGUACCCGAAACCGACACAGGUGGGGUGGUAGAGAAUACCGAGGGGCGCGAGGUAACUCUCUCUAAGGAACUCGGCAAAAUGGCCCCGUAACUUCGGGAGAAGGGGUGCCACCGCAAGGUGGUCGCAGUGAAGAGGCCCAGGCGACUGUUUACCAAAAACACAGGUCUCCGCUAAGUCGCAAGACGAUGUAUGGGGGCUGACGCCUGCCCAGUGCCGGAAGGUUAAGGAAGCUGGUCAGCGCAAGCGAAGCUGGCGACUGAAGCCCCGGUGAACGGCGGCCGUAACUAUAACGGUCCUAAGGUAGCGAAAUUCCUUGUCGGGUAAGUUCCGACCCGCACGAAAGGCGUAACGAUCUGGGCGCUGUCUCGGAGAGAGGCUCGGCGAAAUAGAAUUGUCUGUGAAGAUGCGGACUACGUGCACCCGGACAGAAAGACCCUAUGAAGCUUUACUGUAGCUUGGUAUUGUGCCCGGGCUCUGAAUGCGCAGGAUAGGUGGGAGGCUUUGAUCCAUGGCUUGCGGGUCAUGGUGAGCCAACGGUGAGAUACCACUCUUUCAGAGCUAGGGUUCUAACGGUCACCCGUCAUCCGGGGACCGGACAGUAUCAGGUGGGCAGUUUGACUGGGGCGGUCGCCUCCUAAAAGGUAACGGAGGCGCGCAAAGGUUUGCUCAGGCUGGUUGGAAAUCAGCCGACGAGUGCAAAAGCAGAAGCAAGCUUGACUGUGAGACCUACAAGUCGAACAGGGACGAAAGUCGGCUUUAGUGAUCCGACGGUUCUGAGUGGAAGGGCCGUCGCUCAACGGAUAAAAGUUACUCUAGGAUAACAGGCUGAUCUCCCCCAAGAGUUCACAUCGACGGGGAGGUUUGGCACCUCGAUGUCGGCUCAUCGCAACCUGGGGCUGAAGUCGGUCCCAAGGGUUGGGCUGUUCGCCCAUUAAAGCGGUACGCGAGCUGGGUUCAGAACGUCGUGAGACAGUUCGGUCCAUAUCCGGUGCACGCGCAGGAACAUUGAGAGGAUUUCUCCCUAGUACGAGAGGACCGGGAGGAACGCACCUCUGGUGUGCCAGUUAUCGUGCCAACGGUAAACGCUGGGUAGCCAUGUGCGGAGUGGAUAACCGCUGAAAGCAUCUAAGUGGGAAGCCCACCUCAAGAUGAGUGUUCCCAUGGCAUAAGCCAGUAAGGUCACGGGAAGAACACCCGUUGAUAGGCUCUACGUGGAAGCCGGGUAACCGGUGAAGCGGAGGAGUACUAAUAGACC
rnacentral:rRNA from 1 species